AAAAAAAAAAAAAAAAAAAAAAAGGUACUGUUUAACAGCUGAAAGACUGAUUCUUGCCUCAUUUAUGUUAAUUAUGGAACUGAUUAAGUUUGCACAAAAAAAGCCUUAGGAAUAGUAACUAAAUUUCAUUUUGUCCUCUCAGACUUAUUUUGAACUCUAGACAUAAACCUUAACUACUACUGUAUAUCUUUGAUUCACAAAAGCUUGGAGGAAAACUCUGAAGGGCAUCUUGUUUAACCACUGCCCCCCUCACCCCAAAGUGGGGCCAAAAUAGACAAGGUUACUCAGGACCUUGUACACAUAUGGUUUGAUGGAUAUUUCAUAACCUUUCCAAGACCCUGCUGCAAUGCAUCACUACUUUCAAGGCUGAACAUUUCUUCCUAAUAUCUUGGUGCAACUUGUGCCCAUCUUUGCCUCUCAUCCUUUAACUGUUCACAUUCAAGAAAAGUCUCAACUGUCUUCUCUGUACCCACUGUACUCUGUUCCUACUAGGAAGCAGUAAAUUUGUAUUUACUAUGGAGUUCAGCUUAGUCUGAAACCUGAAUACUUCAGAAUCUGAGACCACGGCAUGAUUAAUUUGGUGUCUUCCCAUGCCUGGUUAUAUGCAAUAUUUCCAAAACAAGAUAUUCUAGCACUGUGGAAGCUUAGUACAAUACUCAGUUAAAUCUGGCAAUAAGAAACUGGAAUAGUGAUGAAGGAGUUAAGACCACAGAUUUCAAAUUAGGCACAGUUUCAGUGAAAGCCCUCUGACUGGUACUUGUAUGGGCUUCCAAGGUAAAAUCACAUUAGUUAUGCUCUAUUGGUACUCAAUGCUUAGAAAUUGUUCUUCUUGCUCAACUAUCAACUGUUACUGCAUUACUCUGAGAAUUCUGUUGCUCUAAAAUGGUGUAGGGGCAAUGUGUGCACUGGACUGGCUUUUAGCUUCACUUGACAGUGUAUAUCUGCCCCACAUUAUUAGUGUGAGCAAGGUCUGCUUCCUAAAACCUUCCAUGUUGAUUUAGCUUUUUGUCUAAAAAUUGAACUUUCAGUACAGACUGAUACUGGAAACAACAGCCUGCAAUCCUGCUUGAGAAGGACAGCAGAAAAUAAAGGCAAUAUGCCCACAUGACUUUAUAUACUUCUAGCAGGGUUGAUUUAACAUUAACUUGGAAUCCUUGCUUCAUAAUUGUUGUUAAAACAAAUGUAUGAAAAUCAUACCUCCUUGGAAACACAUAUGGUUUGGUUACAGUGCUGUGAUUUUAGUUUCCUCAGAGUCUAUAUAAAUUUCCCCUAAAUCUGUUCAGAAGACUUUCAGUUAUUCUUUGUGCACACUGAAGGCUUCCCUGCCACUAGUGCUGAGAGCAAGAUAAUUCUUUCCCAGUAUUCCAGUCAUGAGUAAAGAAGAAGAAAUGAACCCGUUUUAAAAGCAAAGCAGCAGAGUAACCAAGGGUGAGUGGCAAAAGAGGAGGAGUAUUUUCUAAAACUCAAAACCAUGAAAUGAAUAUAUUUUACAAUCUUUUCUUUAUGCUUCAGGCUGUACAACAGGGCACCAUUGCUGUAGGCUGUGAAGAAAGUGUCAUUAACAUUUGUGAACAGUGCAGCAGCAGCAGCAUGAGCCCAGGGCAGCACCCAUGCAGUCUACAGGAUCUGAAAAAUGAAAUCUACACUCCAGCUGCCACUGUGCUGUGUCUGUCUCUGUGCCUUUGGCAGAUUUCAAUUUGAUAGCUUCCCUGCAGCUCCCAGGAACCACUUCAUUAGUGUCUGCUGCAACCUCUAGGUCAUCUGCUGGGCCACUUCUGCUGUGUUCUGAAGAGAUCUGACCUCCAGGCAAUAUUCAAAAAGGAACUGAAUAAACCAGAUACACCAAGUUCAGCCCUGAUGCUCUGCUGGCUGGCCAAUAUACCCACAACUUAGCAACCAACAAUGGCAGGUUUAAGUACAAACAGCAAAAAUUUUCAGUUUUGUAGCAGAAUCAAAAAAUUAUUUCCCAAAUUUCUUCUGUGAAAGAAGAAAAUGGCCUCAUUACACUCAUUACACCAUUUGCACAGUUGUCCAGUAAUAAUGACUUACCUAUACAUGGAGAUUAAUGUGAAGGAUAGCAGGCUAUCAAUUCAGAGGUCAGUACUGAGUCAUGAUAAUCCUCCCAUGUGGGAGCUCUUAGAGGUGUUUCAUGUGAGAUGAACUGAGAGCAGAUACUCAGAGUUGUCUUAUUUUGGAACAAUAGCUCCCAUACCACGAACACCUUGGGAAUAGUUACUUUGAGUCCACUUUCCACUGCAGCUUUAGAUAAAAAUAUCCUGUGCUUCCAGCUGGUAUGCUGUAGAGCAUUGAGGCAGUAAUUUAACCACCUUUUGGUUACACUCCCUGUUUCUCUACAGAAUAGGCUUCUAAAAUGUACAGGGAAAAGGAAAUAAAGACUUUUACUAGUUCCUCUGGGAAUAUCCAGAUUUGUGUCAACCCUUCAUGGCUACAUACUAUAAAUAAUUCAUUACUCACACAAACAGGCAAGAGUGCUCCCAAAUCUUAUUAACCUGAUGUUUCUUAAUGCCUUUUUGAAACCUGUUUCAUAGAAAAUAUUACAGCUAUAUUUAUAUUUAGCCCUAGAUAUGUGUACAUCUUUCAGAUUAAACAUAGAAUACUUCUACAGUUUUUUAAUUUCCCAUGGGAUUUGAGAUUCCUCUCUCUGAUUUCUUAUUAACAGAUUGGUCACAGAGGUCCCAAUUUAAGACUAUGAGUAAGAUAUAUUUAGAUUCUCUGCCCUAAAUCCAUCGAUUAUAAUACAAAGUUUUACAUUUUUUCUAUCAAAAUACUCUACCAACUACAAACAUUUCUUUCAAAAUGUUUGUUUAAAGAAAUCAAGAAAUGAGCAAAGGAUGACUAGAGAGCACCCUGAGGGUAACACAAGACCCCUCUGUCUCUGCAACAGAGAAUGAAAAUUGAGAUAUGCUCAUACAGACUUUAGGAGGUUUGAAAUGGGCAUAGAAAUUCCAGGAAAACAGGAUCUUUUAAGAAACUGUUAAGUUGCCCCUAAGCUGGGCCAUUCAAAUAACGGUUAUUCACACUUCUCUUAUAAUGUUUUUAUCUGCAGCCAAGGAUAUCAAAGGAUUAAUAAAAUUUAUAGGAGUUUGGGAUAAAAUUAUGAAAAUAACAGUUAACAGAGACCUUAUCUGAAGUUUGAGUAGUGUAUUUAGAGGUUAGGUUAAUUUUUAGUGGAAAUAUAAUUUCAAUCAGAAGUCAGAUUUGGUUUGUACCACAUCCCAAAGAUGGGUUUUCCCUAAAACUACUCAGGCAGAAGUGAAAGGAAAAAGGUGAACAUCUUUAAUUUUUCACUGUGCUAUCCAGUUUCCUCCAAGCUAAUAACAGGCUUCUGUGCAGUCUAAUUGUCUUGGGCUUUUGUUGGAAUGUUUGUUUUAAAAUAAAGAACAGGAGUGAGACAGAAAUUAGCAAGUAAUAAACUCAAAAAUCUG